GCCACUCAUUGUUAAUGUUUUAUACCAUAUGACGUCAUAGUAGACUUAUGAUACGUAUUAGUAAUUAAAAAUUACGUCACAACAGUAGUCAGUGGAAUAGUGAAAAAGACGUGCCAAUGUUUUAAAACUGGGCCCAUGAAGAAGCAAUAGAGUCCUUCACGGUAACUGCGGAGCUGCUGUCAACGCAUGCGCAUAAAUACUUCCGCAGGGCAAAUUUCAUUUUACGGAAAACGCUGCUUUCGUUUUGAUCAACUCAUAGAUCUUGCAAUAGUACGUUGUUGCAGUGUGUACAGGUGUUCUAAUCGAGACGAUGCGAGAGGAAAAGAGAAGGGGAGAAGUUUUUUAAGAUUCCCUAAAGAUGCACAUAAACGUUGAAAUUAGUUUGGAUGGAUUUGUACCCAUGCUGAAUGAACAUUCCUAUACAGCUAUGUGUGUUCUGGGCACUUUGUGAUUUGGCACAGUGAUGUCAGAUCCCUAGAAUGAGAAUUAUUUCCCCACCAUGUUCUCAUAAGAAUAUGUCUGUUGAUGCAGAACCAAGCAAUCAGAAGGAAUAUUCAAAAAGAUGGAUCUCCGAGGACCCGUGACAUUCGCACCUGAUGCCGAGAGUUUGGUGAUGGAACUGUCACUACCUGUUUAACGAACUAGGUCUGUCGCGGCCGGGAUUCGAACCCCGACCGCCCGCAUACAGAGCGAACAUUUUACCUCUGGACCAACGCAACAGUGGUAAUGCUAUUGAUAUUAAAUUCUGAUUAUAGAUAUUUAAUAAGAACAGGUGUCCUUUACCAAAAUUGUAAAUUUCAUGAUCCAAGGACAAGGUUUUAGUUUAGUGUGGGAUCAAAAUUAGCAUAGUGACCAUUGUUUUAACAUCAUAUAAAAUUUAUAUUUCAACGUGUUGAAAAGUUUCAGGACAUUGCUUCCAAUCCAUAUUUGUUAUUUUCUUACAGAAAAUGUACUACACACUUAGUUAUGCGAAAAUAAAGAAUAAUACAUAAAA